ACACUAACAGGAACACGCAAGCGAUACGUUUUCCACGCGUAUGGUAAAGUUUUCAUUCAACCCUCGAAGCUCUGCUGUCUUUACGAGAAAAGCACUCCCAUCCUCGCGAAUAUUCUCCAUUGCCACCCACCACUAACAAAACAGCAACUUGCUCUUUCAUUAAAUACAAUUACUCCCUCUCUUCCAUCCUUGUUCUCUCUUCAUUCUUUCUAUGCAUAUACUUUGUUGUCAUUUCGAUCUCAGCCAUCGAUAAUUUCCAUCCAUCAGAGCCAAAACCAUCGUCAUGCACGAUCAUCAGGGUGAUCAUGAUAUGAAGAACAAAGUAAAGGGCGGUAAUAAUAUUCACCGUCAGCAAAAGAAGAGGAGAAGUUAUGGCAAACCUAAAUGCAUGGCAUCUCGUUGUUGCCCUUGUUUUGCAGUGUCAUCAAUAGCUAGAAGGAUUGGGAGAUGCCUGUUUGUAAGCUGUUACCCUAUCAUGCAGUGCUUUCGCUUGGAUGACCACAGACAUCAGCAUGACCAUCACAAGCAUUUUCAUUCCUUCUGAAUUUUGUAUCAUUUUCUUUUUUUUUAAGGUUUGGUCCAAUCACGAGUUUUUGAGUUUGUACCAUAUUAAUGAAGAAAAGAAGUUGUUAUAUGAUUCUUUGGUUA